rnacentral:rRNA from 1 species
GAACUGCCAUUGAAACUGGGGAGCUUGAAUACAGAUGAAGUAGGCGGAAUGAGUAGUGUAGCGGUGAAAUGCAUAGAUAUUACUCAGAACGCCGAUUGCGUAGGCAGCUUACUAAACUGAUAUUGACGCUGAGGCACGAAAGCGUGGGGAGCGAACAGGAUUAGAUACCCUGGUAGUCCACGCAGUAAACGAUGUUCACUCGCUGUUUGCGAUAUACAGUAAGCGGCUUAGCGAAAGCAUUAAGUGAACCACCUGGGGAGUACGUCGGCAACGGUGAAACUCAAAGGAAUUGACGGGGGCCCGCACAAGCGGAGGAACAUGUGGUUUAAUUCGAUGAUACGCGAGGAACCUUACCUGGGCUUACAUGUAGAGUGCAUGAGGUGGAAACAC